UUUUUUUUUUUUUUUUUGGCACAUGACCACCUGGGAGGUGUUUUCAAAAGAACACACUCAAGUAAUAAGUGAAAUUCUAUCAUGCAAUCUUUCCCUUUAGUCAGGCCAAGGAUAGUCUGGUUUCCUUCUCCCCUUUAAAUGAUAAUAGUAACUACUUAAAUAAAAAUGAAUUUUACAAUCAAUAACUAUGUUGCAAUAUUUUGCACAGUUGAUGAAGUGCGUUGUGUUUGAUCAUAUAGACAUAUGAUGCAGACACUUUAUUUAUACCUACAAUUCCUAAAUAAAACUUUUGCAUGCAUGAAAGUAAGGCCUACAUAGGGACAUUCUUUAGAAGGUUUUUAAUAAAGACAAGAAUUUCAGAAAAAAAAAUUUUUCCUCAAAAUUGAAAUAUAUUGUCAAACUAGAAAAUAAUACAUUUUUAAAAAACUAAAAUAACUAGACCUAUGAAUAAUGGCACUGGUAAGUUUUAGAAUCAUUAUAUAGAUAAUGUUUAACAAAUUACAAAAGGACAGGGACUGGAACACACCAAUAAAUAUUCAUAUUGUUACAUACAUAUAUAGUAAACACAUGCAGCCUGGAUGGGAGAUAUGCAGAAUAGCUUCAGAAAAAGGAUUAUACCUAGAGUAGGUAUUUUCAAAAUUGUAUAGAAUGGAAAGAAGCUGACAGUUUUAAUAUUUUUAAUAUUAUUUCAAGCAAGGUUUACAUCGAAGAUUUGAUAUCUCCUACAUGAUGAUAUUUAUAGGGUAUAAACACCUUUUUCUCUAUGCUUUUCUCAGGGUUGAUACGUUUAAAUUAUAUAUUUAUUGUGAUAGACAAAAUAAUUGUCCCCAAAAUAUAUCUGUAUUUUUUUAGAACUCUCCAGUAAAAGAGAGACUUAUUGUAAGAGAUUGUCUCUUGUGAUUAUAGAGAGUGAAAAGUUCCAUGUUUGCUCCUUGCAAGUUGGAAACUCAGAAAAGCUGAUGACAUACAGUUCAAAGCCUGAGACCUGGAAAGACAAUAGUAGAAAUUACAGUCUGGGUCGAAGGCCGGAGAAAUAGAAGUGGCAGGAGAAGAUAGAUAACCCUGCCCAAUCAGUCAGGCAGAGUUAAUUCAGCCCUUUUCUACCUUUUUGUUUUAUUUAGGCUCUCAACGGAUUGAAUGGUCUCCACCCACACUGGGGAGGACAAUCUGCUUUAUUCGGUCCACCAAUUUGAACACUAAUCUCUUCUGAAAACACCAUCACAGACACACUCAGAAAUAAUGUUUAACCAGCUGUCCAGGCAUACCAUGGCUCAGUUAAGCUGACACAUAAAAUUAACCUCAUAAUGACCAAGCUUUAAUCCCUGAAACUUGGGAAUGUAUUCGUUUACAUGGCAAAAGAUACUUUUCACAUGUGAUUAACCUAAGAAUUUCUAAAUUGGCAUAUUAUGUUAUAUUACUUAUAAGCCCAAACAAAGUCCUUAUAAGUCAGAAUACAUCAAGGAGAAAUAUUUGAAUAUGCUAUGCUGCUGGCUUUGAAGAUAAAGAAAGGUGCCACUAGCCAUUGAAUGCCAAGCAGCCUGUAGGGGCUCGAAAAUGCAAAGAAAGAGAUUAUUUUCUAGAAUCUCCAGAAGGAAAGCAACUCUGCUGACACCUUACUUUAAGUCCAAUGAAAGUUUGGACCUGCAGCUCUGUAAAAUAAUACAUUUACGUUGCUUUAAGCAGAGUAAGUUUGUGAUUAUUUGUUUCAACAGCAGUCGGAAAUUAAUAUAUACAUACAGAAUAUACAUAAUUAUACAUGCAUAUAUGAUACUUUAAAUUCAGUAGUUUGUUUUAAGCUUAGAUUUUAAUAGAAGAUUUUAAAAGAAAAAGAAUUUGUCAAAAAUGCACAGAUGAACUCAAACUGUUCAUAAUGCUAACAGCAAAUAGCCAAAGACCUUAUAGGUAAUAGCCAGAAAUGAUAUUUAAAUUUCAGAAAGCUAGCUAGCAGUUCUUGUUAGUAGAAACAAAAGACAGAAAGUAAAACAUUGAAAGUUAUCUUAUUCUAAUUGAGUG
rnacentral:lncRNA from 1 species